rnacentral:lncRNA from 1 species
CAUUUGUCUUUGUGUCUGGGCCAGGCAAAUCCAAGGGCAGCGUUGAGUCCCAUGAUUGGCCGACGGAUACAUUGACAUCCCCAGAGUCACUGACAUGGUCUCCCCUGCUAGCUACCUGAUUAUUCCAGACCACUUCCUCAAACUUCAAGUCUUCCCUGUGUCCUCUUGUGCUCCCAGGCUUUUAGCAGAUUACAGGUAGAGAAGAGUGGGAUAAGUUGAGCCACGGGACAGGACUCCAUGAAAUGAUGACCUAUUCCUAAAUAUUUGGUCAAAUUAUUCAUUUACCCCACUCUCCGCUUAAUGGGAUGUCCCUCCCCUGGAGCCUCUGUCACUGAAAUAUGGAUGUCGUUUGAAGUACUGUAGCUGGCCCCAACACAGCCGACACAGAGAUCAUGCACGUAGUGAGUUUUUCAUUCGGCACUACUUUGCAGUUGCCAGGCAGGGUUUUUCAAGCCCGGCCCUGGGGACUAGAUGAUGACUAAUGGGACCGUGUUAAAGUGACCAGAAGAGGCAGCUGGCGAGGAUGAGAAGUAGUCAGGCCCUACACAUUAUCAGCCAAUCUGUCCUGAGCCAGACUAGGCGGGGG